GUUACAAUCUGCAUUAAGGGUGUUUUUAACAUCUCUCCUGUCUCUCAGCAAUUUGUGUAGCUAGGUGGUUUUAAUGAUCAGGUCAGAUUUGGAAAACAUGGUCAUGGUUAGGCGAGAGAUUACACAGGGACCUCCUGUAAUGUUACCUGGGUCAUAAGUAAGUAAUAUUUCCACAGGAGAAAGUCCAUCCUUUAGGAAGAUAGACAUUGUAGUGGUAACUCAUAACUUGGUGAGUUUUGGUACAAUUCAUAGUGGUGCUCAGG